GACGAACGCUGGCGGCGUGCUUAACACAUGCAAGUCGAGCGGUAAGGCCUUUCGGGGUACACGAGCGGCGAACGGGUGAGUAACACGUGGGUGAUCUGCGCUGCACUUCGGGAUAAGCCUGGGAAACUGGGUCUAAUACCGGAUAUGACCUCCUAUCGCAUGGUGGGUGGUGGAAAGAUUUAUCGGUGCAGGAUGGGCCCGCGGCCUAUCAGCUUGUUGGUGGGGUAAUGGCCUACCAAGGCGACGACGGGUAGCCGACCUGAGAGGGUGACCGGCCACACUGGGACUGAGACACGGCCCAGACUCCUACGGGAGGCAGCAGUGGGGAAUAUUGCACAAUGGGCGAAAGCCUGAUGCAGCGACGCCGCGUGAGGGAUGACGGCCUUCGGGUUGUAAACCUCUUUCAGCAGGGACGAAGCGCAAGUGACGGUACCUGCAGAAGAAGCACCGGCUAACUACGUG
rnacentral:rRNA from 1 species